CAGUAGCCACGGGAAUACGAAGGGUGCAAGCGUUACUCGGAAUUACUGGGCGUAAAGCGUGCGUAGGUGGUGGUUUAAGUCCGUUGUGAAAGCCCUGGGCUCAACCUGGGAAUUGCAGUGGAUACUGGGUCACUAGAGUGUGGUAGAGGAUAGUGGAAUUUCCGGUGUAGCAGUGAAAUGCGUAGAGAUCGGAAGGAACAUCUGUGGCGAAGGCGACUAUCUGGGCCAACACUGACACUGAGGCACGAAAGCGUGGGGAGCAAACAGGAUUAGAUACCCGGGUAGUCCCUGUCUCUUAUAC
rnacentral:rRNA from 1 species